AACUGGGAUUAGAUACCCCACUAUGCUUAGCCCUAAACACAAAUAAUUAUAUUAACAAAAUUAUUCGCCAGAGUACUACCGGCAACAGCCUAAAACUCAAAGGACUUGGCGGUGCUUUAUAUCCCUCUAGAGGAGCCUGUUCUAUAAUCGAUAAACCCCGAUAGACCUCACCAAUUCUUGCUAAUGCAGUCUAUAUACCGCCAUCUUCAGCGAACCCUAAAAAGGUACAAAAGUAAGCGCAAUCACAACGCAUAAAAACGUUAGGUCAAGGUGUAACCUAUGAAAUGGGAAGAAAUGGGCUACAUUUUCUACACCAAGAACACCCAACACGAAAGUUAUUAUGAAAAUUAAUAACCAAAGGAGGAUUUAGCAGUAAACUAAGAAUAGAGUGCUUAGUUGAACUAGGCCAUGAAGCACGCACACACCGCCCGUCACCCUC
rnacentral:rRNA from 1 species